AUGAGUCCCCUCACAAAAUAGAUACACGUUUUAUCAAUGUCUUCUUACCUUCUCAUAAAUAUUAUUUUAAUUCUUUCUAGACGUGGCAAAUUCUUAUUUGCCACUUCUAAUUUUUAGUUGGAAACCAAGCAGCAUCCGAUCCAAAUCCUGAGCCCUUUAUAUGCAAACUCAACCGCCUUCCCCGAACGCCACAUUUCUCUGUUGUUAGCUUUACAAAAACCCGAACCCGGGUGAGGGAUUUUACCUGGAUCCGACUGGAAUGGCAUUGCCCGGCCUGGGACCCUUCGCCACGACGGCUUCCACGGUUUCAUCUGCCGAGGAUCCGAAUAAGAAAAUUCGAAAGCCCUACACCAUAACCAAGUCCAGAGAGAGCUGGACUGAACCGGAACACGACAAGUUCCUUGAAGCUCUCCAGCUCUUUGACCGUGACUGGAAAAAGAUUGAAGCAUUUGUUGGGUCAAAGACUGUUAUUCAGAUCCGUAGCCAUGCCCAGAAGUACUUCUUAAAGGUUGAGAAGAAUGGAACAAGUGAACACUUACCUCCACCUCGACCUAAAAGGAAAGCGGCUCAUCCAUAUCCUCAAAAGGCCUCAAAAAAUGCUCAUGCACACCCACAAGUAUCAGGGUCUUUUCUGUCAUCGGCUGCUUUACUUGAUACUGGAUAUGUUCAAAGAUCUGAUCCCUCAUCGAUGCUUAUGAACCCUAUUACUAGUGCUGCUGCAUCUUCUUGGACAAACAACGCACAAACCAUCAGUUUCUCACAAGCUAAAAAAGGUCCUGGGAUGGCCAAUAAUUCUUGUAGUAGCACUGAGAGUACCCCAAAGACACAACAAAUUGUGGAAAUGACUGAUCAGGGAAAUCAUGGUCAUGCACUGAGAGUAUUGCCCGACUUUGCUCGAGUAUACGGUUUCAUUGGCAGUGUCUUUGAUCCAAAUGCUGCUGGUCAUCUGCAGAAACUUAAGAAGAUGGAUCCUAUAGAUGUUGAGACAGUGCUGCUGUUGAUGAGAAACCUCUCUAUCAAUCUGACGAGUCCUGAUUUUGAGGAUCAUAUUGCUUUCUUCCUAUGAGAUUGACACGGACAAUUAAUCACGGUGUGUGUGAUGCUGUUGAUAAUGACCAAUCCAAAAGCAUCACUUAAUAUGCUAGGAAAAAAGGGCAAGAAUCAAAAGAGUUAGUUCUGUUAGUAUAUAUACUGUUGGUUGGACAAUAGGCUGCAAAAUUUCCAAAUAAUUUUCCCCAUUCUGCUGUCAUGUAUAUAUACAUUGUAAGAGAAGUUAAAGGGAGAAACUGGUGCAGAAUGAAGAAGAAUCGCGAAGGAAGUGUAUAGCGCUUUUUUUUUUUUUUGGAGUAUCUUGUACAGUGCUGGGUUUUUUGUGUAUUCUAGCUUUGACUGCAUAUUUUAGUGUCGUAGACCUCUUUGUAAUAUAGGUGCAUUAUUUGUCUAUGCUGCAGCUAGUUUUGAUUUGCGGUUUUAUACAAAUAUCAGUUUUUCAUUGUGUGUUGCAGUGUGUGGAUGUCGAUGGCAUGUUUGGUAGCAGAAUUUAGAGCCGGUCUUUGACUUGUAUGUUGAGAUUUUGUUUUUGACGUUUACAUUCCUGGUAAGGAGGGAGGCAGCCUUUUUGUGGCCUGUCACUCUCUUUCUACCCGGCUUUGAUGAGGGUUUGGUUUGGCACUUGGGCUUGACAUUGAGGGGGUGUCUAACUUCCA